AGCGAAAUAAUAGUAGCGAAGUUCCUGAUGUCACACUGCCAAGAAAAGCUUCUAGUGAGAAAACAACUGCCCGUACCGUAAACCGACACAGGUAGUCGAGGAGAGUAUCCUAAGGUGAGCGAGCGAACUCUCGUUAAGGAACUCGGCAAAAUGACCCCGUAACUUCGGGAGAAGGGGUGCUGACUUCGGUCAGCCGCAGUGAAUAGGCCCAAGCGACUGUUUAUCAAAAACACAGGUCUCUGCAAAAUCGUAAGAUGAAGUAUAGGGGCUGACGCCUGCCCGGUGCUGGAAGGUUAAGAGGAUGGGUUAGCUUCGGCGAAGCUCAGAAUUGAAGCCCCAGUAAACGGCGGCCGUAACUAUAACGGUCCUAAGGUAGCGAAAUUCCUUGUCGGGUAAGUUCCGACCCGCACGAAAGGCGUAACGAUUUGGGCACUGUCUCAACGAGAGACUCGGUGAAAUUUUAGUACCUGUGAAGAUGCAGGUUACCCGCGACAGGACGGA
rnacentral:rRNA from 1 species